rnacentral:rRNA from 1 species
UACGUAGGUGACCAGCGUUGUCCGGAUUUACUGGGCGUAAAGAGCGCGCAGGCGGUCGUUCAAGUCGAGUGUGAAAGCCCUCGGCUCAACCGAGGAAGUGCAUUCGAAACUACUGGGCUUGAAUACUGGAGAGGAUCGCGGAAUUCCCGGUGUAGAGGUGAAAUUCGUAGAUAUCGGGAGGAACACCAGUGGCGAAGGCGGCGAUCUGGACAGAUAUUGACGCUGAGGUGCGAAAGCGUGGGGAGCAAACAGG